AUUGAACGCUGGCGGAAUGCUUUACACAUGCAAGUCGAACGGCAGCACGGACUUCGGUCUGGCGGCGAGUGGCGAACGGGUGAGUAAUGUAUCGGAACGUGCCCAGUCGUGGGGGAUAACGUAGUGAAAAUUACGCUAAUACCGCAUACGAUCUAUGGAUGAAAGCGGGGGAUCGCAAGACCUCGCGCGAUUGGAGCGGCCGAUAUCAGAUUAGGUAGUUGGUGGGGUAAAGGCCCACCAAGCCAAUGAUCUGUAGCUGGUCUGAGAGGACGACCAGCCACACUGGAACUGAGACACGGUCCAGACUCCUACGGGAGGCAGCAGUGGGGAAUUUUGGACAAUGGGCGAAAGCCUGAUCCAGCCAUUCCGCGUGCAGGAUGAAGGCCCUCGGGUUGUAAACUGCUUUUGUACAGAACGAAAAGGUUUCUACUAAUACUAGGAGCUCAUGACGGUACUGUAAGAAUAAGCACCGGCUAACUACGUGCCAGCAGCAGCCGCGG
rnacentral:rRNA from 1 species